UUGAACGCUGGCGGCAGGCCUAACCCCUGCAAGUCGCACGGUAACAGGAAGAAGCUUGCUUCUUUGCUGACGAGUGGCGGACGGGUGAGUAAUGUCUGGGAAACUGCCUGAUGGAGGGGGAUAACUACUGGAAACGGUAGCUAAUACCGCAUAACGUCGCAAGACCAAAGAGGGGGACCUUCGGGCCUCUUGCCAUCGGAUGUGCCCAGAUGGGAUUAGCUAGUAGGUGGGGUAACGGCUCACCUAGGCGACGAUCCCUAGCUGGUCUGAGAGGAUGACCAGCCACACUGGAACUGAGACACGGUCCAGACUCCUACGGGAGGCAGCAGUGGGGAAUAUUGCACAAUGGGCGCAAGCCUGAUGCAGCCAUGCCGCGUGUAUGAAGAAGGCCUUCGGGUUGUAAAGUACUUUCAGCGGGGAGGAAGGGAGUAAAGUUAAUACCUUUGCUCAUUGACGUUACCCGCAGAAGAAGCACCGGCUAACUCCGUG
rnacentral:rRNA from 1 species